UACAGAGGUCUCAAGCGUUGUUCGGAUUCAUUGGGCGUAAAGCGCGUGUAGGCGGCCCGGUAAGUCCGCUGUGAAAGUCGGGGGCUCAACCCUCGGAUGCCCGGGUGGAUACUGUCGGGCUCGAGUGCGGAAGAGGCGAGUGGAAUUCCUGGUGUAGCGGUGAAAUGCGCAGAUAUCAGGAGGAACACCAAUUGCGAAGGCAGCUCGCUGGGACGUUACUGACGCUGAGACGCGAAAGCGUGGGGAGCAAACAGG
rnacentral:rRNA from 1 species